rnacentral:rRNA from 1 species
AUGGUAGGAUAGAGGCCUACCAUGGUGGUAACGGGUAACGGGGUGUUAGGGCACGACACCGGAGAGGGAGCCUGAGAAACGGCUACCACAUCCAAGGAAGGCAGCAGGCGCGCAAAUUACCCAAUCCCGACACGGGGAGGUAGUGACAAUAAAUAACAAUACAGGGUUCUUUGAAUCUUGUAAUUGGAAUGAGUACAAUUUAAAUCUCUUAACGAGGAACAAUUGGAGGGCAAGUCUGGUGCCAGCAGCCGCGGUAAUUCCAGCUCCAAUAGCGUAUAUNAAAGUUGUUGCAGUUAAAAAGCUCGUAGUUGAAUUUCGGGAUCAAUACGUCGGUCGUGCUUUCGGGUACGUACUGGCGUCAUUGGUUUCUCCUUUCUGACGAACCAUGAUGUCAUUAAUUUGGUGUUAUGGGGAGUUAGGACUGUUACUUUGAAAAAAUUAGAGUGUUUAAAGUAGGCAUUAGCUUGAAUACAUUAGCAUGGAAUAAUGAAAUAGGACGUUCGAUCCUAUUUUGUUGGUUUCUAGGAUCAACGUAAUGAUUAAUAGGGAUAGUUGGGGGCAUUAGUAUUCAAUUGUCAGAGGUGAAAUUCUUGGAUUUAUUGAAGACUAACUACUGCGAAAGCAUUUGCCAAGGAUGUUUUCAUUAAUCAAGAACGAAAGUUAGGGGAUCGAAGACGAUCAGAUACCGUCGUAGUCUUAACCAUAAACUAUGCCGACUAGGGAUCGGAUGAUGUUAAUUUUUUAAUGACUCAUUCGGCGCCUUACGGGAAACCAAAGUGUUUGGG